UACGAAGGGGGCUAGCGUUGCUCGGAAUCACUGGACGUAAGAAGCACGUAGGCGGAUUGUUAAGUCAGGGGUGAAAUCCUGGAGCUCAACUCCAGAACUGCCUUUGAUACUGGCGAUCUCGAGUCCGGGAGAGGUGAGUGGAACUGCGAGUGUAGAGGUGAAAUUCGUAGAUAUUCGCAAGAACACCAGUGGCGAAGGCGGCUCACUGGCCCGGUACUGACGCUGAGGUGCGAAAGCGUGGGGAGCAAACA
rnacentral:rRNA from 1 species